CUUAUACAAUACAUACGGUAAAGAGAGAGAAGAGAGAAAGAUAAAGGAGAGAGAGAGUAGUAUUGGAAAUAAAGUUUUCCUACAUCAAAUAUUUUAAUCACGUGUUUUUCAAAGUGAAGAAAAGAUUUUGAACGUGCAUUCAGAUUUUUCAAGACAAGUAAGAUACAUUUAUGUGCAAAGUGUUUUAGUUUCCUUAUGCUCUUAUAUACAAUUAAUAUGCAUGGAUUGCUAGUGGACCUUUGGGUUCUAGAGAAAGAGAUAUGAAAUUUUUACGGGAAUUUAAGAGAACUUAAGAUGGGUGUGUCGCUUGGUCACCGAUAUACUCUAUAAGAGAAAAGCGAUAUGAAGUGUAUAAUUUAUUUGUUAUGUAAUUGUAUAUGGAAAUUGCACGUAUCUUACUGGGUAUUUUUAAAUACUCACUCUUACAUUAAUUUUACAGGUUAAUUCGGGUCGAUUGGAAUAGUGGCGAAUUGAUGAUGUGGGCUGCCAAGUGGAUAAAGAAUAGAGAGAAAGAAAUAAGUUUGUUGUUUUUUUUUUUUAGAUUUAUCAAUUAGUUUAAUUUAUUCAGAAUGUAUUAUUUGAAUUAGUUAAGAGUUUAAGUUUAUGUUUAGACACGAUUUUCAUAUUUUCAAAUUUAGAUUUAUAAAUAUUGCAGUUAUUUGAUUAUUAAAGAGUCUUUUUAUAUAGUUCUGCAUUUAAAAUAGAGAGAAGUGAGUUUUUCGUAAUGUUCCGGUGUUUAUAGAAAAAUUGGGGCGUUACAAUGUGUGUCCAAAUCAGGGCUAUAAAUUAGAAUGUCAUCAAAGAAGACCAACAUGUAUUCCCUCAAUUGAUUCCGGAACACUUCAUUCAUGAAAUCCUGAAAUGUGGCAGGAGCAUUAGUGAGGCUAAAGGGCAUCACUUUGAAUUCAUAGAGCCCUUGAUGAGUCUUAAAGGCAGUUUUGUAGAUGUCUGGAUCAGCAACCCUUAUUUGAUGAUAUCCUGCUCUAAGGUCAAUUUUAGGGUAGUAAUUGGAGCCUUUGAGUUCAUCCAGCAACUCAUCAAUGAUUGGCAUGGGAAAUUUGUCCUUGACAGUUAGGCUAUUAAGCUGCCUAUAAUCUACACAAAAUCUGCAAGAUCCAUCCUUUUUUACUAGAAGGACUGGUGAUGCAAAAGGGCUGUUGCUAGCUUGGAUGAUUCCACUCUCCAACAUUUCGUUAACCAAUUUUUCAAUCUCCGUCUUCUGAAUAAACGGGCAUCUGUAGAGUCUAAUCUUGAAAGGUUGGGCACCCUCUUUCAAUGGAAUAUGAUGAUCAUGGGACCUCGGGGGAGGUAGCCCUGUGGGUUCUCAAACACUUCUGUAAAUUGGCUAAUGAUCUCUGUGAUUUGGAUAGGAAUCUCUUCUUUCCCUUUCUCUUCAAUUGAAUACAUCUAUCCCACUCCAUAGCUAUGUUUUAUAAACAAGCUCUCCAUCUCUCUUACCUCCAUCAUUUCCACAUGCAGGUCUGGGUUUUCACUUCUCAAAAUCACCUCUCCCUGUUCAUUCUGGAAUUUAACAUACCCCUUUGUGAAGUCAAACAUGAUGUGUCCAAAUUGACUCAUCCAGUUUACUCCCAAGACCAUAUCACUCCACCCCAGCUUCAGUGUUCUCAACCUGUACUGAAACUCCCAAUUGUGUACUUUCCAUGCUUCAGGGAUUUACUCUCCAGCAUCUCCCCAUUAGCCACCUUAACUAUCAUAGUUCUAGCUUCCUCAGGCGUAUAGUUUAGCUCUCUAGCCAAGUCCUCAUCUAGGAAGCUAUGUGUGCUUCCACUAUCUACUAGGAUCGAAAUCUUCCUCCCUUUUAUAAUUCCAGGAACUCUAAUAGUUUAUGUUUUGGGUUGCCAGCCAAAGCACUGACAGAAAUCUCCAUCACCUCGUCAUCCUCUGAUUCAGACUUCCCUUCUUCUUUCUCCUCACUUUCCUCCUCAUCUGCCAAUAUGAAAUUCAGGGAUUUAUUCUUACACACAUGACCAAUGGUGUACUCAUCGCAUUUGUAACAAAGCCCAAGGUUUCUUUUGGUUUGGAAGUCAGUGGGAGUCAUGGUUUUAUAGUUUGGGUUUUUAUUGGUUUUGGCUAGGGUUCUAUGGGUUUAGUUUCUUUAGGGGGUUUGGAGGGGUAAGGGUUCCUUUUGUUAGGUGUAAAACCUUUAGGCUUUUGGAACCUAUUUAUGGCCUGUAUAGUAGACUCUUGCAGGCUGGCUACUUCAAAUGCUUGGUCUAGGGUGGUUGGCUUUGUCAUCUUAACCAUGGAUUUGAUCUCUCUUUUCAACCCACUGGUGAACACAGAGAUGUAGUAGGAUUCUGGGACAUGAGCUAAUCCCAAUAACACUUGGGCUUUAAGUUCUUCAAACCUCUCCUGGUAUUCAACUAUUGUCCCCAACUGCUUGAUCUUACUAUAAGUUUCAACCACUUCUUCCCCUGUGGUUUCUGCAAAUCUCCCACAUAAUUCCUCUGAGAAUAAGCCCCAAUCUGCCUCUGAAUGACUAGCAAUAAAUCCAUCGAACCAAAUAUCAGCCUUUCCCUUCAGAUACAUCUCUGCCACUCCCAACCUCAACUCAUUAGGAAUCUGAUGCAGCUGAAAAUACUUCCUGGCUUUCCUCAACCAUUCUCGAGGUCCCUCACCUUCAAAAUGGGGAAAAUUGAUUGUAGGGAGCCUGCUAUUCCGCUUGACCUCACCCCUAGUAUUAGUGCUAUUUUCAUUACUGCUGCCUCCUGGUGUAAACCUUCCACUCCCAGAUUUCAGGUUAAUUAAAGGUUCUUCCAUCCCUUUGUUCUUUAGUCUAGAUUUAAGAUCAGAGGUUAACUGAGCCAUGGUUACUAGUUUCUCGUACUUGUGGUGGUUCAUAUCCACCACAGCAUCUUCAAGUUUUUCUUGCCUAUGACCAAAAACCUGGAGGUUUUAGUCUGUAGAUUCAAGUUUGCCUUCUAAUCUGCCAGUGACAGCUUUGAAUGCAGCACCUAGAUCAGCAAUUUCUAGGUCCAGUUUCUUCAGGCGUUCAUCUACUACCUUUGCUCGUGUAUCCAUCGCAAACUUCCCAGUACAAACACCUGCUCUGAUACCAAUUUGUCACGGUUGGGCUCCAAAUUCAGCUCCUCCUUAACCGUAACUCGUCGGAAGUUGAUCUUAACUGAAGUCGGCUGAGUGUUAAACCACUUAAAUGAAGAAAAAACAGAAAUUGGGGUGGGAAAAAAGGACGUAAAAUUGAGAAGAGAUGAGAGAUGAAAUGAAUUGAAGAAUCAAUCCACCAUUAACUGAAAUUGCAUAACAGAAUUCGACACCAAAUCCACUGCACAUAUAUAUAGAUAUACUACUAACAAUUGAAAGUCGUGCUUUCAGAAUUAAAGCGUAAAAUCUUUUUGUUUUUCUGUAAAAAACCAACACAAAUAAAAAGAGUAAAACGACACCGUUCCAUUUAAAGUAAAACGACACAGUUUUCAUUUUAAAACUUGGUUAAGAUGGUUGCUUCUCUACUUUCUCUUCCAGGCUGAUUUCCUUCUUCUUCUUUACUGAUCUCUUUCCCCAACUUCCUCCAUAACAUGUAGUUAUCAAUAUGUCAAAACCUUCUAGGCAGAGUAUAGUAAAAUGCUUGACAAAGGAUGUAAUUUGUAUAUAGAUGCACACGGCCUUUGAUAUGAUGGAAUCGUCAAAGAUUUGACCUUUUUGAACUCUGUCUGUAACUCACUAGAGGCCUGGGAAACAAAGAGAAGAUGUGUACGAAUGAGAUAUCCAGCAACAAGAAGAAGGAAAAGGAGUGAAUAGAGGAACUCCCGAACAUUUGGCGAUCUCAGAUGUGUCGAUAUCAAUGGUGACUCAUUAUUUCGAUGAAUCAUUUCUUUGGACAGAAGAAGACUAUGUAAACACUUACUCGAAAUCUCACUUAUUAGAUUCCAUUGUGGAAGACACAAUUUUUUCUUAAGAAUUCGCCAUGAUAUACUUGAUCCAUGCAUAAUAUCAUGAAAAAUGGAUACAAAUUUUUUACUGCUACUUAUUAUCGGCAAUAGGUUUGAAAAAGUAUCUAAAAAUAUCANAAGGGAUAUCAUCUUGAAUAUGUUG
rnacentral:lncRNA from 1 species